AAUGAACGUUGGCGGCAUGGAUUAGGCAUGCAAGUCGAGCGAGAAGGGUUUUGAAGCUUGCUUUAGAACCCGGAAAGCGGCGCAAGGGAGAGUAACGAGUAGUUAUCUACCCCAAGGCCCGGAAUAGCUGCGGGAAACUGCAGGUAAUGCCGGAUAAUAUCCCCGGAUCAAAGGUGUGAUUCCGCCUUGGGAGGAGACUGCUUUGUACUAGCUAGCUGGUAGGGUAAUGGCCUACCAAGGCUACGAUGCAUAGCGGGCGUGAGAGCGUGGCCCGGCUCACGGGGACUGAAACACUGCCCAGACACCGACGGGUGGCUGCAGUCGAGAAUCUUCGGCAAUGGGCGAAAGCCUGACCGAGCGAUGCCGCGUGCGGGAUGAAGGCCCUCGGGUUGUAAACCGCUGUCGUAGAGGAGAAAGGUCUGAUGAAGAAUCAGAUUUGAUCUAUUCUAGGAGGAAGUCGGGGCUAAGUUUGUGCCAGCAGCCGCGGUAA
rnacentral:rRNA from 1 species